CUCUGCUCAAUGAUUUUUUAAAUUGCUGUGGUAUUUUGACUAUACAAAGGUAUUGUAAUAAGAUUUUAAUUGAAUGCUAAAAGAAUGGAAAUUUAAAAAAAAACUUUUUUAAAAAUAAAAAUUGAAUUUUUUUUAAUUUGUGCAAAAACAAUUAUACUUAUUAAAGACAAGAAGACCCUAAGAAUUUAAGAUUUUACAAUUAAAAAGUUUUUUUUUUAAAAUCUUGAUUGGGGCGAUCAAAAAAUAUUAAUAACUUUUUAAAAUUUAAAUUGAUCUAUUAUUAAUAAACUAAUGAAUUAAAUACUCUAGGGAUAACAGCGUAAUAAUUUUUGAUAGAUCUUAUUGACAAAAUAGUUUGCGACCUCGAUGUUGGAUUAGGAUUCUUUUUUAAUGAAGAAGUUAAAGAAAGAAGUUUGUUCAACUUUUAAAUUCCUACUUGAUCUGAGUUCAGACCGGA
rnacentral:rRNA from 1 species